rnacentral:rRNA from 1 species
UACGAAGGGGGCUAGCGUUGUUCGGAAUUACUGGGCGUAAAGCGCACGUAGGCGGGUUUGUAAGUAAGGGGUGAAAUCCCAGGGCUCAACCCUGGAACUGCCUCUUAGACUGCAAGCCUGGAGGUCAGGAGAGGCGAGUGGAAUACCGAGUGUAGAGGUGAAAUUCGUAGAUAUUCGGUGGAACACCAGUGGCGAAGGCGACUCGCUGGACUGAUACUGACGCUGAGGUGCGAAAGCGUGGGGAGCAAACAGG